UGGGAACUACCCUUUAGUACGGAAUAACGUCGAGAAAUUGUCGCUAAUACCGUAUACGCCCUUCGGGGAAAGAUUUAUCGCUAAAGGAUGGGCCCGCGGUGAUUAGGUAGAUGGUGAGGUAACGGCUUACCAUGCCGACGAUCAGUAGCUGGUUUGAGAGGAUGAUCAGCAACACUGGAACUGAGACACGGUCCAGACUCCUACGGGAGGCAGCAGUGGGGAAUAUUGGACAAUGGGCGCAAGUGAUCCAGCCAUGCCGCGUGAGUGAUGAAGGCCUUAGGGUUGUAAAACUCUUUCGAUGGUGAAGAUAAUGACGGUAACCAUUAAAGAAGCCCCGGCUAAUUUCGUGCCAGCAGCCGCGGUAAUACGAAAGGGGAAGCAUUGUUCGGAAUUACUGGGCGUAAAG
rnacentral:rRNA from 1 species